rnacentral:rRNA from 1 species
UAGGGAAUCUUCGGCAAUGGGGGCAACCCUGACCGAGCAACGCCGCGUGAGUGAAGAAGGUUUUCGGAUCGUAAAACUCUGUUGUUAGAGAAGAACACGAGUGAGAGUAACUGUUCAUUCGAUGACGGUAUCUAACCAGCAAGUCACGGCUAACUACGUGCCUG